GGCUAGGUGGCCGAGUGGUCUAAGGCGCUACGUUUAGGUGCUAGCCUUGCAAGGGCUAAAACUGUACCCGUAGUGGGAAACCGCGUGCGUUCGAAUCGCACCCUAGUCA